rnacentral:lncRNA from 1 species
GCUAAUCAUGUGGUGGUGAAAGAGAUGGAGGUGAAGGUGGUGGUGGUGAUGGAGGUGGUGUUAGUUGUGGAGGUGGUGGUUGUGGAGGUGGUGUGGUUGGGCGGUUCUAUUAGGUUGACCCGAAAUUAUGCCCACCCCUAGAGUAUAUAUGUUGACAGGCUAUUUCAAGGUGGAUGGUUAGUACUAAGUCGCUCGGUGUAUGGGAUUUGCUCAUUUCUUGGGCAAUAGCCCAAGUCGGUUGAGACCUUUGGUUGUUCAUUCCUUGGGCUUGUCAGCCUAGUAUUUG